ACGAACGCUGGCGGCGUGCUUAACACAUGCAAGUCGAACGGAAAGGCCCUGCUUUUGUGGGGUGCUCGAGUGGCGAACGGGUGAGUAACACGUGAGUAACCUGCCCUUGACUUUGGGAUAACUUCAGGAAACUGGGGCUAAUACCGGAUAGGAGCUCCUGCUGCAUGGUGGGGGUUGGAAAGUUUCGGCGGUUGGGGAUGGACUCGCGGCUUAUCAGCUUGUUGGUGGGGUAGUGGCUUACCAAGGCUUUGACGGGUAGCCGGCCUGAGAGGGUGACCGGCGACAUUGGGACUGAGAUACGGCCCAGACUCCUACGGGAGGCAGCAGUGGGGAAUAUUGCACAAUGGGCGGAAGCCUGAUGCAGCAACGCCGCGUGCGGGAUGACGGCCUUCGGGUUGUAAACCGCUUUCGCCUGUGACGAAGCGUGAGUGACGGUAAUGGGUAAAGAAGCACCGGCUAACUACGUG
rnacentral:rRNA from 1 species